AUCACGCGCUCCUUGUUGUCAAACAAACACCUGAAGCUGCGAGUCAGACUGAACGUGAAACCGCUUUCGCCGCCUAGUGGACCGGAUGAAAAACUGCACUUCCCCUUCUAAAAAAAUCGUAAUUUCACUUUGAAGAAUCUCCAAAAAGAAAUAAUGGUGACUGAGACAUUAAAGAACACAAACACAAGAAGCCUUUUCUAGCACAUUCGGUAAAGUGAUUGUUGAGUCUUCUGACAUAAUGGAGUUAGGCACUAGCUUUCAAAACCUCCUUGAAAACAUUACCAGCCUUUACAUAAGUGGAUAUUUUUCAUCUCAUGGACCUUAAUGCAAUGUCUUCCCACUCAAACCUCAAUGAAGGACAUCAGUUCUUUCAUGAAAAUGGCAUCUUUAAUCUCAAAGCGUAAUCAUCUUGUUGCUGUUUUUCCUACCUAAGCAUGAAGCUCACUCUAACACCAUAUAACAUCCCACAAGCAUGCUGCAAAGAGGGCAUAAACCAAAGAC